CUGGAUUCGAACCAAGAGACUGACUCUCAACUAGCUCAAUUGUCGCACCAUCAAAAUACGAAACAUUUCAAAAACACUAUCUUCAGUGCAUAAACUUCAGAAUACAACUGCCACUUUUUAUUUGAAUCUUCACGAAUGAAAUAUGUAUCUAAUUAUCGACACGUUUCCCGCAAUGAAUAUUAUCUUUAGUUUGUUUCAUUUAUCAUUAUUAAUAGGACAACUUAGUUACGUAUCAUCUCUACUUGGCACUCGUAAACGUAGAUAGCUCGUAAUAGGCUCAACACCAUAAUGUCGAUUGGAAAUCCAUAAAUCACUUUAGAGAACAUCAUCAAGAGUUUCGAAUGAAAUCAGAUAACGAGCAAAUUUUAGAUUGAUUACACAAUCUGUGUGUAUGUGUGAUAGCUCAUGAAUUUCAAACUUUGUGAUGUUUAGUUUCGGAAAAUGCGAUUAUCAUUAAUUUUCCUAAUUUUAGAUUCACGAUACUAAAACAGUGGUGUUUGAUGAUGCAGCUUUAAUUGCACACUUGAUGUAAAAUGAAGGCUAACAGCUCAGUAUACCACUUUCGAUGACAUCAAUUUAAUGGCUGUUGACGCAAUUCUUACAACUCGUUCACGUUUCACGAAUAAUGAUGGUGACAAAAUGUUCUGACACCAAUUCAACGCGAUCAUAUUUUAUAUGUUUUUAUGUUUUCUAGUUUGUUGGCAGUUUCGAGAGUGCAUAUGUAAGCAGGAGGAACGUAGGCCUCCUCAAUACGUUUCAGGUGACAUGCAUUUUUCAACCGUUAUAAAAAGAAUCUGAAUAUUCUUCAGAUCCCAUAUCAGGUUGUUGAUGCAUUCGUUGAAGGCGGAUAUAAUCUUCUUGACCCAAUUAUCAUUCUACACAACAGUAGGAUGCUGAAUAGACUGCUAAUGGUAAUUAGGGAGAGUCGACAACAUAAACAAUUAGCGUGUGUUUGUAUAGCGCAUUUUAUCAAAGUCAUUUCACCUUUUAACCGCUUGAGCCAACAUCAUGAGUGGUCGAGGGAGUAUCUAUGAUAACGAAGCAGGUGCAGAUCUGUAUUGAUGUAUGCUAUGGAAAAACAACCGUCGAGUGGUUCUUUUAUGUGCUUCCCGUACUUGGCAAAGUCAUUCAAAUGUGGCCUCCGAGAUAAUGGAAAGGAGGUAUUGUGUUAUAGAUAUUCCCUGCAUCAAUUUCCCACAUUUCAUCAAAAAAGACACUACUUUUGAUCAAUAACUGUGUAUCUAAGAUUCAACUUGAGUGAAUAGACUCAGAGCAGAAAUAUACAUAUAUAAC